UACGAAGGGGACUAGCGUUGUUCGGAAUCACUGGGCGUAAAGCGCACGUAGGCGGAUUCGUAAGUCAGGGGUGAAAUCCCCGGGCUCAACCCGGGAACUGCGUCCGAUACUGGCAGGCUUGAAUCCGGGAGAGGGAUGCGGAAUUCCAGGUGUAGCGGUGAAAUGCGUAGAUAUCUGGAGGAACACCGGUGGCGAAGGCGGCAUCCUGGACCGGCAUUGACGCUGAGGCGCGAAAGCCAGGGGAGCAAACGGG
rnacentral:rRNA from 1 species